AGGCUGGGGGCGUGGAGGUGGCCUGAGGGGCCGGCGACCCUCCUUCGUUCUUGCUCGGGCUCUGCUCCAACUCUUCCCAGUGACACCUUUGUCGCUUAAAGCGGCGUUUCUGGUGCCUAAGACCAGGAGCUGGGGUUUUAGCCUCUGAGGACUCUCAGUUAGAUCUGCCUUCAACCCACAGAACGGCCGUGUGUGGAAGCGACAUGACCACCUACGCCAACGAGUGCGUCCUGUGCCUGGAGAUCAGGUGCCUCCCAUAACUCGCCUAAACACGUGACCUUGCCUCCUCCUCCAGGACAACAGGUCGUGACAUUAAAAUCGUCGAGGAGGAGCCGUGCUGAUGGAAGCAGUGUGCAGACGUGGAGAAGCCGCCCUCGCCGCGCACCGGACGCUUUCAGUCUCCCCUUCUCCUUUGCUGCGUUUCGUUGCAUGAAAUCUGUUAGCCCACCUUUUCCAAACGGAGGUGUGGAAGAGAGCCGUGCGCAGUGAUGACGAUUAAAAAAAAAAAAUCUUCA